rnacentral:lncRNA from 1 species
CUUCGAGCUGUUUCUGCAAAGCUGGGGAGCGGGCUCCGUGCCCCCCUUCUCCAGUGCGUGUGGGUAGGGGGGAGGCGAGCGGCGGAAAGCGGGGGGGGGGUGUUUUUGCUGCUUCGGGAGCCUCUGGGUCUGGCCUGGACCUUUCCGGGGGCCACUGAGCGGACGCCCGGGCACCAGCCCCGCGCUGCCCGCUGGUCUGCAGGACCACAAAAGUUGGUGGCUGCGGGGACGGGCGCUGGGCGCCCCAGCCCGGGUCUCAGGGGACGCAGACCCCAGUCGGUUCCCGGGAGCAGAGCCCGCAGGACGCACGGCCGGCCGGUGCCCCGGUCUGGGGUGGGGGCAGGGGUCUGGGGAGUCGAUGGGGAUCUGUGCAGCACCCCGAUAGCCUCGGGCAACCUGGCGAGGAACCCCCAUCUCAACGCUCUCGGCCGUCCCGCGCUGCGAAUUCCCUCCCGGCCCCCGCUUUCGCGGUCCAUUGGUGCCCCCCGCUCACCCCCAACACCGCGCGGCUCGGCCUGGCCACCCCCACCCCCCGUCCCGCCCCAGUGGGCCAAGCAGGUCGUGGAGAUCCGGCCACCCGCUGCUGGAGGCGGGGGCUGGGGGGGGGGAGCACCACAAGGGGGUGGCCCCCCGGAGCGAGCCGCUGAACUUGAGUCCCGCCCCCUCCCCAAGGCCUCCGCGGCGCCCCCAGCCUGCGCCUGCACCCGCGUGGCCCGACCUGCGGAAGUGCGGGCGGGGGGUGGGGAGCGGGGGGAGGUGUCGCUCGGCCGCAGACCCUGCGGGGGCUCGGGAGUGGGGGGCGGUGGUGGCUGCGCGCGGAGGGCCCGAGGUCCCCGCCCCCGCUCCCGACCCCCGGGCCGUCCCCUCCCCCCGCCCUGCCGCGGCUCCCGCGGCCCCCGGUGGUGGUGGUGGCGGCGGCGGCGGCGGGGGGUGGCGCGCAAGCCGGGAGUCCAGGGCGCGGGUGUCUGUGCGCGCGGGGAGCGGGGCCCCGUGCGGCGCGCAGCCCUGGGCCCGGGCGCACCAUUCCGCCGCCUGCUCGCCGCCAGACGCGGCGCCCUUUCUGCCCGGGGCGGGGGCGCGCCGAGCCCCGCACCCCUCCCCCCAGGCCCGCGGGGCCCACCUGGGAGCGCGCGUCCCGCCCGGAGGGCGCGGGGCGAGGACGUCCUCCGCAGCCCUCCCGCCCCUUCCCCAGCGCCUUGCUUUUUUACAUUUAUUUAUUUUUUUAAAUUUUGGCUGACUGCUUCUUCUGAACCGACCGGCAGGUGCGGGCCUCUUUCUACUUAUUUUCCGAGGCACUGGGCUGCUGCUGAGGGGCUGGCGAGGGGAGGGGGCGCAGCAGGCAAGCGCCGGGGACCCGGGGGCGGCGGGGGCCGCGUGCGUCCAGGUUGCAGCUCCGGCCUGCGCCGGGUGAGCGCGCUGACUGGAUUAACCCCCCUGCGCCGGCGAGUUUGGGCCCGAGCGAGCACCGCGGAUCCCCAUGUCUCAUUUGCACCCAACUUAAGAAAUUUGGGGUGA